UAAAAAGUUACUAAAGAGCACACAACGAAUGCCUUGACGUAAAGACACCGAAGAAGGACGUGAUAGGCUGCGAAAUGUUGCGGGGAGCUGCCAAAUAAGCUUUGAUCCGUAAAUGUCCGAAUGGGGAAACCUAUGUUGGGUCAUGCCAACAUGCGCACUCUUGAAUACAUAGGGAGUGAGAGCGGUAAGCGGGGGAACUGAAACAUCUUAGUACCUCGAGGAAAAGAAAAUAACCAAUGAUUCUCGGAGUAGUGGCGAGCGAAACGGGAAGAGCCUAAACUUUUUAAGCUUUUGCCUGCCAGUUUACUGGUAUGCAAAUAAGUUGGUAGACGAAUGUUUAAGAAGGGUUGCAAGGAACAAAACAACCAAGCACAGCAUCUAGGGCUUGCCCUAGGGAUUGUGUUUGGCUAGUGGAUCUCUACCAAAGACCACGUAAGGUAAGAAAUUAGCGAUGCAAGCGGAAGGACCUGGAAAGGUCCGCCACAGAACGUGACAGCCGUGUAUGCAGAGUGUCGCUGACCUUAUUUUUGUUUACUUAAGUAGGACGGGGCACGAGAAACCCUGUUUGAAUCUGGGACGACCACGUUCCAAGGCUAAAUAUGUCUUACGAUCGAUAGUGAACAAGUACCGUGAGGGAAAGGCGAAAAGAACCCCGGAAGGGGAGUGAAAUA
rnacentral:rRNA from 1 species